rnacentral:rRNA from 1 species
AUUGAACGCUGGCGGCAUGCUUUACACAUGCAAGUCGAACGGUAACAGGCCGCAAGGUGCUGACGAGUGGCGAACGGGUGAGUAAUGCAUCGGAACGUGCCCAGUCGUGGGGGAUAACUACUCGAAAGAGUAGCUAAUACCGCAUACGAUCUAUGGAUGAAAGCGGGGGACCGUAAGGCCUCGCGCGAUUGGAGCGGCCGAUGUCAGAUUAGGUAGUUGGUGGGGUAAAGGCUCACCAAGCCCACGAUCUGUAGCUGGUCUGAGAGGACGACCAGCCACACUGGGACUGAGACACGGCCCAGACUCCUACGGGAGGCAGCAGUGGGGAAUGUUGGACAAAGGGCGCAAGCCUGAUCCAGCAAUGCCGCGUGCAGGAAGAAGGCCUUCGGGUUGUAAACUGCUUUUGUACGGAACGAAACGGCUCUGGUUAAUACCCGGGGCUAAUGACGGUACCGUAAGAAUAAGCACCGGCUAACUACGUG